rnacentral:rRNA from 1 species
ACGGGUGAGUAAUGCCUAGGAAUCUGCCUGGUAGUGGGGGAUAACGCUCGGAAACGGACGCUAAUACCGCAUACGUCCUACGGGAGAAAGCAGGGGACCUUCGGGCCUUGCGCUAUCAGAUGAGCCUAGGUCGGAUUAGCUAGUUGGUGAGGUAAUGGCUCACCAAGGCGACGAUCCGUAACUGGUCUGAGAGGAUGAUCAGUCACACUGGAACUGAGACACGGUCCAGACUCCUACGGGAGGCAGCAGUGGGGAAUAUUGGACAAUGGGCGAAAGCCUGAUCCAGCCAUGCCGCGUGUGUGAAGAAGGUCUUCGGAUUGUAAAGCACUUUAAGUUGGGAGGAAGGGCAGUAACCUAAUACGUUAUUGUUUUGACGUUACCGACAGAAUAAGCACCGGCUAACUCUGUGCCAGCAGCCGCGGUAAUACAGAGGGUGCAAGCUUUUAAUCGGAAUUACUGGGCGUAAAGCGCGCGUAGGUGGUUUGUUAAGUUGAAUGUGAAAUCCCCGGGCUCAACCUGGGAACUGCAUCCAAAACUGGCAAGCUAGAGUAGGGCAGAGGGUGGUGGAAUUUCCUGUGUAGCGGUG